AUUGAACGCUGGCGGCAGGCCUAACACAUGCAAGUCGAACGAGUGGCGGACGGGUGAGUAAUGUCUGGGAAACUGCCCGAUGGAGGGGGAUAACUUCUGGAAACGGUAGCUAAUACCGCAUACCAUCGGAUGUGCCCAGAUGGGUUUAGCUAGUAGGUGGGGUAACGGCUCACCUAGGCGACGAGCCCUAGCUGGUCUGAGAGGAUGACCAGCAAAACUGGAACUGAGACACGGUCAAGAUUCCUACGGGAGGCAGCAGUGGGGAAUAUUGCACAAUGGGCGCAAGCCUGAUGCAGCCAUGCCGCGUGUAUGAAGAAGGCCUUAGGGUUGUAAAGUACUUUAAGCGAGGAUGCGUUACUCGCAGAAGAAGCACCGGCUAACUCCGUGCCAGCAGCCGCGGUAAUAC
rnacentral:rRNA from 1 species